rnacentral:rRNA from 1 species
UACGGAGGGUCCAAGCGUUAUCCGGAAUCAUUGGGUUUAAAGGGUGCGCAGGCGGUAAAGUAAGUCAGUGGUGAAAUCUCUUCGCUCAACGAAGAAACUGCCAUUGAUACUGCUAUACUUGAAUAUAGUUGAAGUAGGCGGAAUGUGUAGUGUAGCGGUGAAAUGCUUAGAUAUCGUCAAGAACACCUAUAGCGAAGGCAGCUUACUAGGCUGUAACUGACGCUGAGGCACGAAAGUGUGGGGAUCAAACAGG